AAUGCCUGACACUUUCAAGAAGAGUGAGUGCAUCAGACAAUGUCAGCCAUUCUUUCCUUCAUGUUUUCACAGGGUGGAUAACACUAAGAACCAUCCAUUGACAAGAGAAUAUGAAGCCACAUCCCAACAGGAAACAGAUUGUUAAUUCCUAACCUGACCACAUUCAACCACUGAAAAAGCCACGAAAUCUUAAACUCUAGUCUGAUUACUGAGGAACUAGAAGACAAAAGCUCCAAAGGAGAAGAAGCAAAGACAAAAGAAAAAUAACACAAAAUAACU